GGGGAAACCCGGGGGGAAGGGGGAUUUGGGCCCAUUAGAACGUGGAGAGAAAAAGGGGGGGGAGAAACAGGUUUAAAACCCCUUGGUUUUCCCCCCCCCGUAAACGUUGGAAAAUUGGGUGUUGGGGAACUUCCCAGUUGUUGGGUGCCGCAGUAACCCCAUUAAGUUUCCCCCCCUGGGGAGUACGGCCCCAAGGGUUAAACUUAAAGGGAAUUGGAGGGGGGCCCGCCACCAAGCAGGCGGAGCAUGUGGGUUAAUUUUGGACGCAACGGGAAAAACCUUUACCAAGGCUUGACAUAUACCGGAAAAGCAUUAGAGAUAGUGCCCCCUUGUGGUCGGUAUACAGGUGGUGCAUGGCUGUGUCAGCUCGUGUCGUGAGAUGUUGGGUUAAGUCCCGCAACGAGCGCACCCUUGUCCUGUGUUGCCAGCAUGCCUUUCGGGGUGAUGGGGACUCACAGGAGACCGCCGGGGUCAACUCGGAGGAAGGUGGGGACGACGUCAAGUCAUCAUGCCCCUUAUGUCUUGGGCUGCACACGUGCUACAAUGGCCGGUACAAUGAGCUGCGAUACCGUGAGGUGGAGCGAAUCUCAAAAAGCCGGUCUCAGUUCGGAUUGGGGUCUGCAACUCGACCCCAUGAAGUCGGAGUUGCUAGUAAUCGCAGAUCAGCAUUGCUGCGGUGAAUACGUUCCCGGGCCUUGUACACACCGCCCGUCACGUCACGAAAGUCGGUAACACCCGAAGCCGGUGGCCCAACCCGUAAGGGAGGGAGCUGUCGAAGGUGGGACUGGCGAUUGGGACGAAGUCGUAACAAGGUAGCCGUACCGGAAGGUGCGGCUGGAUCACCUCCUUUCU
rnacentral:rRNA from 1 species